AUUGAACGCUGGCGGCAGGCCUAACACAUGCAAGUCGAGCGGGGUUUUCGGACCUAGCGGCGGACGGGUGAGUAAUGCGUAGGAAGCUGCCCGAUAGAGGGGGAUACCAGUUGGAAACGACUGUUAAUACCGCAUAAUGUCUACGGACCAAAGUGUGGGACCUUCGGGCCACAUGCUAUCGGAUGCGCCUACGUGGGAUUAGCUAGUUGGUGAGGUAAUGGCUCACCAAGGCGACGAUCUCUAGCUGGUUUGAGAGGAUGAUCAGCCACACUGGAACUAGGACACGGUCCAGACUCCUGAGGGAGGCAGAAGUGGGGAAGAUUGGACAAUGGGCGCAAGCCUGAUCCAGCCAUGCCGCGUGUGUGAAGAAGGCCUUCGGGUUGUAAAGCACUUUCAGUAGGGAGGAAGCGUUGUGUGUUAAUAGUACACAGCGUUGACGUUACCUACAGAAGAAGCACCGGCUAACUCUGUGCCAGCCGCCGCCGUAAGAC
rnacentral:rRNA from 1 species